AAACCAUGAUGAGGGCAACACCUAAGUAGAUCCUUGUAUCUUUCCCAAGCUUUGCAUAAUGAUUCCACAUCUAGCGGCAUGAACGAUGUGAUAUCAUACCUCAACUU
rnacentral:snoRNA from 1 species